GCGCUACUCCCUCCGUCUGAAAAUACUUGUCAUCAAAAUGAAUAAAAAAGGAUGUAUCUAGAACUAAAAUAUGUCUAGAUACAUCCCCUUUUAUUCAUUUUGAUGACAAGUAUUUCCGGACGGAGGGAGUAUUAA
rnacentral:pre_miRNA from 1 species